rnacentral:rRNA from 1 species
AUACGUAGGGGGCAAGCGUUGUCCGGAAUUACUGGGCGUAAAGGGUGCGUAGGCGGAUAUGCAAGUCCGAUGUGAAAUGUUACGGCUUAACCGUGGAGUUGCAUUGGAAACUGUGUAUCUAGAGUACAGGAGAGGGAAGCGGAAUUCCUAGUGUAGCGGUGAAAUGCGUAGAUAUUAGGAGGAACACCAGUGGCGAAGGCGGCUUCCUGGACUGUAACUGACGCUGAGGCACGAAAGCUGGGGCAGCGAACAGGAUUAGAUACCCUGGUAGUCCCAGCCGUAAACGAUGGGUACUAGGUGUUGUCACUUCAUUGUGGCAGUGCCGGAGUUAACGCAAUAAGUACCCCGCCUGGGGAGUACGGCCGCAAGGCUGAA